GACGAACGCUGGCGGCGUGCUUAACACAUGCAAGUCGAACGGAAAGGCCCUGCUUUUGUGGGGUUCUUGAUUGGCGAAGGCGUGAGAAACACGUGUGUAACCUGCCCUUGACUUUGUGAUAACAUCUGGAAACUGGGGCUCAUACCGGAUAUGAGCUCCUGCUGCACGUUGUUGGUUGGAAAGUUACGGCGGUAAGGGAUGGACUCGAGGCUUAUCAGCUUGUUAGUGGAGUAGUGGCUUACGAAGGCUUUGAAGGGUAGCCUACCUGAGAGGCUGAACGGCCACAUUGGGACUGCGAGACGGCGCAGUCUCGUACGGGACGCAGCAGUGGAGAAGAUGACAGAAUGGCCGGAAGCCUGAUAGAGCAGGGCCGCGUGCGGAAUGACGGCCUUCGGGUUGUAAACCGAUUUCGCCUGUGACGAAGAGUGUGUGACGGUAAUGAGUAAAGAAGCCACGGCUAACUACGUG
rnacentral:rRNA from 1 species